rnacentral:tRNA from 1 species
UAAGGAAACAAUUAUCAUCUUCAGUUUUGAGAGACUUAAGAAAGUUUUUCAUUGUAACUUGCUUGCAAAUUGUAUUUGCAACAUUUUAAUCUUUUUAAGAUUAAGGGCCUAUAGCUCAGUUGGUUAGAGCACACGCCUGAUAAGCGUGAGGUCGGUGGUUCAAGUCCAUUUAGGCCCACCAUAACCACAAAUAGGCAAAAUCUUAAAAAAGCUCUUUGAAAAGUAGAUAAACGAAGGUUAAAAAAUCA